GUUCAAGUUAAGCCAUUUUAAACAGAAUUUGUGACACAAUGUUGGUUACCAUAAAAAACGUGUCUCUUAGUUUCUUUUAAAGCAUAAUUCAUGGUUACAGUGGCAAACAUAUAAAGAAAGAUAAAGCUUGCAAUUUUAUUGAAACACAUGCAUGAAUUUAGUAAAACUGAGAGAUGAGUAAAUUUUAUUUAUUUAUACAUUUUAGGUAUCAAGUUUGUUAUCACAUUCAAACUGUUACACCCAAAAUUAGCAUAUUCCUUUUAGAAAGAAGCCAACCAAAGUGUGAUUAACAGAGUUUGUCAGUGUUUUUACAUGUGUUUUUAGUGCUGGCCUGUACGGUUUCCUGAGACGGACCAUGCUGGCUGAGAAGCCUUUCCAUGACACCCAGUGUGUCCAGAUUAACCAGCUGUCCUAACAUAUGGUGGUCACUCAUGGAAAAAGCUUUGCGUUUAUGGCUGACAUUGGCAUCGUGGAGCAUCCCUGUUUGGAUCGCAUAUAAACAUUAAAAUUUCAUCGGAAAAUAACAUUGCUGAAUCUUGUCAGCUAAUUACAGCAGCAGCGUUUAUCUACACUCCACCUGAUUCUCACAUUGUCUGAUGCACCAUUCACAUGUGUGAGACACGACUGAAGACACUUUCAAGGUUUUUUUUCCCUUCCUCUUGUGAUAUAUCAUGGUGGGAAAAAUCAAAUGUUAUCAUGGUCCAACUUGAAAACAGACAUGUUCCUACAGUAUAAUGCAUUCAUAUGCCUCAAAUUUGCCAUUUGGUGUCAGGAGAGACUCUGAGGACUGCUUCUUUUCGCUGUAGAGCUGCAACAUCCCCAGCAGAGGU